GCGCGGGACGGGGGAGCGGCCUGGGAGCGGAGGCGCUGGCGCACGCCUUCCCCUUCAGUUUCCGCGGGGUCUUUCCCCGCGUGGGGACAAGGGGAGGCGAUGGACCGGGGGAAGUUGAAAGUAUUGAAAGCUCCAGAACCUCUGAGGGCCUCCCUUGAAUCCUGCUGUGGAGGAUGCCAAAGCAAGGAGAGGAACCAUCACACCAGGAGUAAGUCUGGCUACCAUGAAGCUGCCAUGCCAGAGAGACCACAAAGAUUUAGUGCCAGCUGUUCCAGCUGACAGCAUCAUCUGCCAGACAUGGGAGUGAGGAAGCCUUCAGAUGAUUCCAGUCCCCAGCCAGCCUGUGACAAGUCUUUGGAGCCACCCUAGCUGACACCAUAUGGAGCACAGAUGAGCCAUCCUCCCUGGGGCCUACCCAAAUUGAGCUAAAUAAAUGAU